rnacentral:lncRNA from 1 species
GAGACCACCCGGCGCCCGGGACCCGCCAGCGAGGGCUGCCGCCCGCCGCCGGGGACUUUCUCCAGGACUGGGAGAGAAAUCCUCUCUCCGCUUCGCGACGCGACCACUCCCACCCCUGAGACGCCCACCUGGCGGGCUCUGCGUGGGGGGAUUCGGCUGCGUCUAAUACCACCUCCACCACUCAUCCCUAACAAUGCGCGGAAAACCACAGGCGGCUGUGCGCGCAGCGUCGGCUCAGCCACCUCAGCUCCUCCCCUGGGGCCGGAAUCCCCAACUGCACCGCCCCUGCAAGACGGGCUAAGCGGCAGAUUCCAGGGAGACUCAGUUGGAAUGCCCCGCCUACAGCUCCCGCAUAAAGGAGUUGAUGGUGCACAGCAAAACCACCUGUUAUUUAACGAGUAUGGGGGGAGGGGUUCUCCCUCAUUGAUUGAUCUGAACUGUGCUUUUCUUCUCCCUGUUUUCCUACCCAAUUUCAGGAUGAAAAAGCAAACUGACGUCUUGAAAGCUGGCAGCUCUCUGUAUGGAAAAUCUCUUCCCAGUGAAAAAAUGUACAGACAAGAUUACUAA